UACGAAGGGGGCUAGCGUUGUUCGGAAUCACUGGGCGUAAAGGGCGCGUAGGCGGCCGAUCAAGUCGGGGGUGAAAGCCUGUGGCUCAACCACAGAAUUGCCUUCGAUACUGUUUGGCUUGAGACCGGAAGAGGUAAGUGGAACUGCGAGUGUAGAGGUGAAAUUCGUAGAUAUUCGCAAGAACACCAGUGGCGAAGGCGGCUCACUGGCCCGGUACUGACGCUGAGGCACGAAAGCGUGGGGAGCAAACAGG
rnacentral:rRNA from 1 species